rnacentral:lncRNA from 1 species
GCUGCCAAUUUGCCAAUUCCCCGAUGGGAAUAACCAUCGUUGGCUGCCGUUAGUGGCUCGCCACACCGCCGGCCUCCGUGGUAGACCGUCGUGGUGGGGCGUCACCGCUGGCUAGGCUCGCAUCGAGCCGCCGCUCUUGGCCUCUGCCGCCCCAGAGGCUGAGCAACGCUGUGCAGGACUGAUGGCCUUCAUCUCCAGUAGUGCGCCGAGGCCACGCCUCCUCCUCGUACGACUGACUGCGCUUGAGAAGAGCCGCCUCCGCCGCGGGAGGGUCACAGCCACGCACAGCCUGAAGCCGCCUGUGGCCUCUUGGCGCCAUCAGGCCGCUCGAGGCCGGGCCAAAGCCGCGACGUGGCCAUGCUGUUACACACUUGAUGACGCCACCACUGGCUGGGUUGCCGCGCCCGUGAACCGCUGUCGCGUCGGGCUGGACGACGCCAUGGGCACAAAACGCCUUUGAGUCGGGUGUGGAGCAUACCUGUCACCGUCUUUCCUUUGCAUCGGAGGGCGCCGCGUGCUAGCCGGUAGGCCACGUCUGCGUCGGGGCUGAUGGCAUCGUUCGUUAUGGACGCCGGAGUUAUCGUUGCCAUGUGCUGCCGCCGGUCCACAUGCGUCUCUUGAGAACGCCGCCGCUCGAUCCCGUUCCCGUGGCAUGGGACACUCUGUCACAGAUCGUUCCUAUGUGCUGAUCGAAAGACAAGACGAGAGAAUAAUGCAUAGAUUAGUUGAUUGGUUUCAACGAAAGAGCAGUGAAGUAACCGGCCAAUGCAUUAAGGAUUGGAUCUGUGCAUGCGAUUGCAUGCUAAUUCGUCGAUGCUGAUCGAUUUUAUUUUGCGUGUCUACAUGUCCAUCAAUGACUUGUUCCGCGGGCAUCAAACGACGAGGCCAAAUCCUCUCAGGAUAAUGUAGCGAUUCAGGCAAUCGCUGCCGCAAGCAAGUAGGGCACUCGCAGUGGAGCGCAUGUCAACGCUGCGGCCCAAGACGGCAGUAUUCGUUGCCGGAAAUGUAUCCAUUGCUUCCAUCGCCCACGCCGAAAUCUUGGUUCUUCACUUCCCGGCGCCUGUGCGUAACCGCCAUCUCGCACACUUUUUUUCGCGGUAGAGACUAUGUGUU